rnacentral:tRNA from 1 species
GCCCAGGUGGUGGAAUUGGUAGACACGUCGGACUCAAAAUCCGAUGAAUGAAAAUUCGUGAGGGUUCAAGUCCCUCCCUGGGCA